CUACGUGCCAGCAGCCGCGGUAAUACGGAAGGUCCAGGCGUUAUCCGGAUUUAUUGGGUUUAAAGGGAGCGUAGGCUGGAGAUUAAGUGUGUUGUGAAAUGUAGACGCUCAACGUCUGACUUGCAGCGCAUACUGGUUUCCUUGAGUACGCACAACGUUGGCGGAAUUCGUCGUGUAGCGGUGAAAUGCUUAGAUAUGACGAAGAACUCCGAUUGCGAAGGCAGCUGACGGGAGCGCAACUGACGCUGAAGCUCGAAGGUGCGGGUAUCGAACAGGAUUAGAUACCCUGGUAGUCCGCACAGUAAACGAUGGAUGCCCGCUGUUGGUACCUGGUAUCAGCGGCUAAGCGAAAGCAUUAAGCAUCCCGCCUGGGGAGUACGCCGGCAACGGUGAAACUCAAAGGAAUUGACGGGGGCCCGCACAAGCGGAGGAACAUGUGGUUUAAUUCGAUGAUACGCGAGGAACCUUACCCGGGCUUGAAUUGC
rnacentral:rRNA from 1 species